rnacentral:lncRNA from 1 species
AUGUGCCUGAAUGUAGGAUUUUAUAACCUGACAGUGUGCUGGAACUUCUCAGCUGGACUCCUGGACUCCCACAAGGUAUUUGCAGCUUUCCUCCUUUCUUCCAACUAUACGUGCAGAGGCUGUAUCUCUGGAUCCAGAUGCAGCUCAUCCCGACCUCAUCCUGAGGGUAGAAGAUACAUUUCUUCAAUAAAGAAUGCUCUCCAGAACUGUAAAGCCCCCACACACUAAGGACAAGGGGAAUCUGAAACCAUCUUCAGUUUUCUGGGUUUACUACAGGGGAGACAGACGUUACUGGGAGGUAGAAGUAAACAACGGGGACAGAAGUUGGACCAGGAACAAGAUGAACUCUGGGUGUUCAUUCAGCACAACGAAGAGAGGGGGGUGGUUUGUAGAAAGUCC